rnacentral:rRNA from 1 species
AAUGCGCGGCUAAUACAUGCAGUCGGACGGGAUCCAUCGGUAGCUUGCUACCGAUGGUGAGAGUGGCGCACGGGUGCGUAACGCGUGAGCAACCUGCCCAUAUCAGGGGGAUAGCCCGGAGAAAUCCGGAUUAACACCGCAUGACACUGCUUUCCGGCAUCGGGAGGCGGUCAAAUAUUCAUAGGAUAUGGAUGGGCUCGCGUGACAUUAGCUAGUUGGUGGGGUAACGGCCCACCAAGGCGACGAUGUCUAGGGGCUCUGAGAGGAGAAUCCCCCACACUGGUACUGAGACACGGACCAGACUCCUACGGGAGGCAGCAGUAAGGAAUAUUGGUCAAUGGGGGCAACCCUGAACCAGCCAUGCCGCGUGCAGGACGACUGCCCUAUGGGUUGUAAACUGCUUUUGUUAGGGAAUAAACCCCGCUACGUGUAGCGGGCUGAAUGUACCUAAAGAAUAAGGAUCGGCUAACUCCGUGCCAGCAGCCGCGGUAAUACGGAGGAUCCGAGCGUUAUCCGGAUUUAUUGGGUUUAAAGGGUGCGUAGGCGGCACUUUAAGUCAGGGGUGAAAGACGGCAGCUCAACUGUCGCAGUGCCCUUGAUACUGAAGUGCUUGAAUGCGGUUGAAGACGGCGGAAUGAGACAAGUAGCGGUGAAAUGCAUAGAUAUGUCUCAGAACACCGAUUGCGAAGGCAGCUGUCUAAGCCGUUAUUGACGCUGAUGCACGAAAGCGUGGGGAUCGAACAGGAUUAGAUACCCUGGUAGUCCACGCCCUAAACGAUGAUGACUCGAUGUUUGCGAUAUACCGUAAGCGUCCAAGCGAAAGCGUUAAGUCAUCCACCUGGGGGAGUACGCCCGCAAGGGUGAAACUCAAAGGAAUUGACGGGGGCCCGCACAAGCGGAGGAGCAUGUGGUUUAAUUCGAUGAUACGCGAGGAACCUUACCCGGGCUUGAAAGUUACUGAAGGGCGCAGAGACGCGCCCGUCCUUCGGGACAGGAAACUAUGUGCUGCAUGGCUGUCGUCAGCUCGUGCCGUGAGGUGUUGGGUUAAGUCCCGCAACGAGCGCAACCCCUAUGUUUAGUUGCCAGCACGUCAAGGUGGG